GUCCCUGUAGCGCAAGGGAUAGCGCGUUGAACUUCAAAUCUAAAGGUCAUGGAUUCGAAUACCAACUGGGAUG